rnacentral:rRNA from 1 species
GACGAACGCUGGCGGCGUGCUUAACACAUGCAAGUCGAACGGAAAGGCCCUGCUUUUGUGGGGUGCUCGAGUUGCGAACGGGUGAGUAACACGUUAGUAACCUGCCCUUUACUUUGGGAUAACUUCUGGAAACUUGGGCUAAUACCGGAUAGGAUCUCCUGCUGCUUGGUGGUGGUUGGAAAGUUUCGGCGUUUGGGGAUGGACUCGCGGCUUAUCCGCUUGUUGUUGGGGUAGUGGCUUACCAAGGCUUUGACGGGUAGCCGGCCUGAGAGGGUGACCGGCAACAUAGGGACAGAGAAACGGCCGAGACAGAUACGGGAGGAAGGAGUGGGGAAUAUUGAACAAGGGGCGGAAGAGGGAUGAAGAAAGGCCGCGUGGGGGAGGACGGCCUGCGGGUGGAAAAAAGAUUUCGCGGGGGACGAAGGGGGAGUGACGGAAAUGGGUAAAGAAGAACCGGCUAACUAGGU